AUAAUUAUAACCUAGUUUAUGUAUUGUGUGCCUACAUGCUAUGGUAUACUACAUUAUUAUAAUGACACUAAUUUCUGUGAUAUGAAUUUUGAGUUUCGAUAUGGAUUUCGGUUCUAACGAUUUUACUCGGUGCUUAAAAAAAGUUUUACAAAUCGGUUUUGAUGUAAAUUUAAUAAGUAAUGAGUAACAUUUAGUCAAACCCAAGUUACGUCAAUUUAUUCAUAAUUAAAUUAUUUUACACAAUGUAUGAUCAUCGUCAAAUACGUGGCCUCAUACACUUGGCUGAAUAAGAUUUUGCCGACAAUUUCAAAUGUGAAUUUCACCCCUCUACUAAAGUGCCGUCCUAACCGUGGGCCUGUGUCACCUAUUCUUUGAGCUGGGCAGUGCAGUAUCUUUUAAGAACAGUUUUUUGAUAAUUUUUAUCUAUUCGUUAAGUAUAAUUUAUGAGUAAUAUUUUUUUUAUUCUUAGCAAAUCGAUGUCAUGUGUGUGUAUGUGUUUUUUAUGUUCCACGUGUAUAGUAAUAGAAAAAACGAUUCAAUCUUCAACUUUAGGGAUAUUUUUUAUUUCGUAGUUUUAAGAUGUAAGACAAGAUAAUUCUUUUUAGGUCCAAGCUCU